rnacentral:lncRNA from 1 species
CCCGAAGUAUCCCUUUAAGGGCUAGAACAUGUUGUGUCCCUUUAAAUCAAUCAGGAAAUACUGGAGUUUAUCUUUAAAAUAUUUCACAAGGGCUUUUGCAUUGUGACCUGAGAGCCAACAUAUCUUGCCAGAUGUUGCCUUAAUCUGACUCUAGAGAAGCACCGUACAAGGCUGAAUACCCAUUCAGAGUCAGACAAGAGAAUCAGCAUUCAACCACUACGCUUCGUCCUCUCACUACAGUAGGAAUUAGUGGGAGAUUCCUAUUGCAGAAUUUCCAUCAAUUGCGGCCCAAGCCCCAGCCCAAGCCCCAGCCCAAGCCCCAGUGUGGUGCCUAUAAAUCUGUUUGUUUUUCUACCCGUCCAACUUUCAGUGGUCAUAAAUAUAAAAGUGACGUCUGAGGAUGACUCUUCGGAACCGAGCAGACCAUGUCAUCAGUAGAAUCGGCAGCGGUUCCUGAUAAGCCAUCCCUGGAGUGUUGAUCUAGGGGCCCCUGUGUGCCUCUGACAGGCCCCUGAUUCCCUGUUCUAAUACUUAGGGGUGGCAUUAGCAAACAAACAACCCUUCUGGACAGUGUUUAUGUCCCCCUUGGUUGCGGAAUGGUCGCUAUGCUGAUCCUCAGGGCAGGGUAGCCCUACUGGUAGUAUACAGUGUCUGGUGUAUUGGACAGCAAUGGGAUGGAAUGCAACAGUAUAAGCAAUAGGCACUAGGUAAAAGCGCAUCAUUCAAGAGUAAAUAUGACAAAUUGACGGUUUAACAUUGAAAAUAAAGGGAAUUGUG